CAUUUGAAUAUAAUAAAAAUAUUCAAUAAAAUAAACUAUUUUCUUGUAAAAUAAUUUUCAUAAAACUAUCGGUACAUAAUUCUUAUAGUGUAAAAGUUAAUUAUAUUCAUAAAUAUUAUACAGCAAAUAACUAAAGCAUAAAAUUUCUUUUACAGUGACACGUGGGCCCACAUCUAUCCAAAAUGCAUCGAAAGCUGGAAACCUACAGCUUUUACCGAUUCGAGUCCAAAUGAAGAUCCUUGUCAAAGUCAGCUAACUAUGGAAUUCCCCGAGCUUGAAAUGUGAGGAAAUGAGGGUGGUGAGAUUAUAAAAUCCCAGUAAGUAAACAGAUACCAUCUAAACUAUCUAAAGUCGAGUAAAUGGAGACAAUUAAAAUAAGUCAUCAUACUGUAAUUUCAUUACCUUUCAACCAAAUAAAAUCAAUCCAUGAAAAUCGAGUAAUCAACUUGGCUUAUGAAUUUCUUAAACCUUUGGCUCGUGCCAAAACUCAUACUCGAUGAUACCUUGCCCAGGGCAUCCAACUGAGUCAGCCAAGGCUGUUAAAAUUUCGUAUACACUUAAAAUAUAUUUUUAGUUUGAGAAAAAUAUAGUCGUUCCUUGGUGUUGGCUGAGUUCCCCUUCACGUGGUGGUUUGGCGUGAAGUGAACCCUAAGCUUUACCCUAGGAGAUACCCUACGCGCCUCUCCGUUCGAGGUAAGAAUAUAAUGGAGUUUACCGUGCCCCUCUUAUAGGCUGGUCCACGAAACCCCCUUUGUAGUGAAUAAUUAAUAUAUAAUCCACCAAUCAAUAAAAUUCAUUCUAGCAUGACAUGCGAUUUAUUGCAACCUAGCCUCUCAAGACUGAAUACACAGUAUAAAUAAUUCUAACACCAAAAUCAGUUUAGCCAUUCAUGCUCAUAUAUUGUCAUAAGCUAUUCAAUUUAAAACCAUAAAUUUACAACACAAGCGGGCAGUCUCCAAUUACUCUAUUUUGAAAACCAGUAUUCGAUUUUUCAGAAAAUUUAUACAAUCAUUUUAUAAACUCACAAUAUUUCCUAAAACAUAGCAAUUUACCAUGCAAACCCAUUUUUCAUAAAAUCACACAAUUGUAUAAAACUACUCCAGAUAAUUAAGACGAUAAUAAGUUCACUCACUGUUCUAGAAGUCGAUGUACUCCUAAUCCCAAUCUCCAAGCACAAUCUCUGUGCUUUUACCUGUGUAAUUUGCUCACCACCUAUCCACAAUGUACAGUAUAUAAUUCAUCACAUCAAUGCUUGACCAUUAUAAAAAUCAAUUCAGGCUCGAUAUAGAUGCAUGAUAUGAUAUAAAACUUAUUCGACUACCGCUUAAAUGCGGUGCUGACCUAAUUCGGCCUAUUAUCUCCAAUUUAACUCCAAAUCAAUUCUUCUCACUUUCUACACUCCAAUUAUACUUAAAUUACCUUAGUGACUAUGAAUGAGAUUCAAUUUAUCAGUCCCAGUAGCAAAUUACGAAAAUACCCCUAGUGGGUAAAAAUUCAUAUUUUUGCUCCGAAAAUUCCCAUUAUUUUUCUAAGCUCAUAAUUCAUCAUUAUUCAUCAUAAUUCCGCAAAUAAACAUCAAGAUCAUCAGCCAAUAUUCCCCUAGAAAAUUCGGCCAAUAAUGGUAAUGGAGGAAAAUAAAUUCUUUUCAUGUUGUUUUCUUCCUAAAUAUGCUAAACUAACUAAAAACACUAACAUAACUUAAAAUCAAAUUAAUCUAACAACAAUUCCUCUUCCAUACCCAUUUUUCAGAAUUGAAUUCAUCAUAAUAACUCAAUAUUCAACCAUGGAAAUCAAGAACAAAAGAAUGGGUAAGCUAGGUAUCAAGGAGAACUAAAGAAAUUCUAACUUACCUAGUUUGUUUACUUGAUUUCUUCACUUUUUCUUUGAAUUUUCACCUAGGCUUUCUUGUUUUUCCCUUUGUUCUUCCUCUCUUUC
rnacentral:lncRNA from 1 species